ACAGUUCAGUAAUCCAGAUCAAAUAAAAGAGGAUUUAGCUAAGGCAGAGGAGAAGAGGAGAUGGAGAGAGGAGCAUCCCGAUAGUAGCAGCGAAGAGAGUGAAGAUGAAGCUCCAGCUAGAGGAGCAGCAGGAGGAAAGAAGGAGGU